GGGCCUGUAGCUCAAUGGUUAGAGCAGCACACUCAUAAUGUGUUGGUUCUAGGUUCGAGUCCUAGCAGGCCCACCA
rnacentral:tRNA from 1 species